AUGUUUGCUUUGACAACACAGACACUACAAUGGAAAUGCUAUAGUGAAGAUUAGCAGGGCCUCUGUGCAAGGAUGCCAGCAAAUGCAUGGCAUGUUUUAUAUGUCU
ensembl:snRNA U6 U6 spliceosomal RNA